rnacentral:rRNA from 1 species
UAGGGUAUAUUGCACAAUGGGCGAAAGCCUGAUGCAGCAACGCCGCGUGUGCGAUGAAGGCCUUCGGGUCGUAAAGCACUUUUCUGGGAGAUGAGAAAGGACAGUAUCCCAGGAAUAAGUCUCGGCUAACUACGUGCCAGCAGCCGCGGUAAAACGUAGGAGGCGAGCGUUAUCCGGAUUCACUGGGUGUAAAGCGCGUGCAGGCGGUUCGGUAAGUUGGGCGUGAAAUCUCCUGGCUCAACUAGGAGAGGUCGUCCAAUACUACCGGGCUUGAGAGCGGUAGAGGAAGAUGGAAUUCCCGGUGUAGUGGUGAAAUGCGUAGAUAUCGGGAGGAACACCAGUGGCGAAGGCGAUCUUCUGGACCGUUUCUGACGCUCAGACGCGACAGCUAGGGUAGCAAACGGG